rnacentral:rRNA from 1 species
CCUACGGGUGUCAGCAGUGGGGCAUAUUGGGCAAUGGGCGCAAGCCUGACCCAUCAACGCCGCGUGAAGGAAGACGGCUUUCGGGUUGUAAACUUCUUUUAAGGGGGACGAGCAUAAGACGGUACCCCUUGACUAAGCCACGGCUAACUACGUGCCAGCAGCCGCGGUAAUACGUAGGUGGCAAGCGUUGUCCGGAUUUACUGGGUGUAAAGGGCUUUCAGCCGGAGAGACAAGUCAGAUGUGAAAUCCACGGGCUCACCCCGUGCACUGCAUUUGAAACUGUUUCCCUUGAGUGUCGGAGAGGUAAUCGGAAUUCCUUGUGUAGCGGUGAAAUGCGUAGAUAUAAGGAAGAACACCAGUGGCGAAGGCGGAUUACUGGACGAUAACUGACGGUGAGGCGCGAAAGCGUGGGGAGCAAACAGGAUUAGAUACCCUAGUAGUC